AUCGUUUCUCAGCCUUUUGGCUAAGAUCAAAGAGUAGUAACUUUUCUUAUCAACUAAAUAUCUGAUACGAGGAAAGUGUUGUACUCUUCGAUAUUAAGCUUAUUUCUGUUUAGGAGUGGAAGUAUUGCGCUUGCAUCGUUUCAACUAAGAGUCGUCCUGGUAUUACAGUACUUCGAGGAACAGCUCAUCACCC
rnacentral:snRNA from 1 species